GCCUGCUUGUUCUCCUAUCACUUGUUCCAUAUAGAGGAAAGGAUUAUUAUUUCCUCUUACAGUCUGGGAGGGAAGCAUGGAGAGAUGGCUCCCAUUUCCUGGCAGUGACCUAUGGUGUCACAGCUCCCAUGGAGCAGAAUGCAUUACUGGAGAGACAGAAGAUUGGACCCUGUUGUUUCAACAUUCCAACUCGGGCAGACGUAGGAGUGUUUCUGCAGAAACAUCUUUGUCAAGGACUCCAAAGAGGAGAGGGGGCACCGAGGUGAAGAAG